GACGAACGCUGGCGGCGUGCUUAACACAUGCAAGUCGAACGGAAAGGCCCUGCUUUUGUGGGGUGCUCGAGUGGCGAACGGGUGAGUAACGCGUGAGUAACCUGCCCUUGACUUUGGGAUAACUUCAGGAAACUGGGGCUAAUACCGGAUAGGAGCUCCUGUUGCAUGGUGGGGGUUGGAAAGUUUCGGCGGUUGGGGAUGGACUCGCGGCUUAUCAGCUUGUUGGUGGGGUAGUGGCUUACCAAGGCUUUGACGGGUAGCCGGCCUGAGAGGGUGACCGGCCACAUUGGGACUGAGAUACGGCCCAGACUCCUACGGGAGGCAGCAGUGGGGAAUAUUGCACAAUGGGCGGAAGCCUGAUGCAGCAACGCCGCGUGCGGGAUGACGGCCUUCGGGUUGUAAACCGCUUUCGCCUGUGACGAAGCGUGAGUGACGGUAAUGGGUAAAGAAGCACCGGCUAACUACGUG
rnacentral:rRNA from 1 species